GGGGAAUUUUCCGCUAUGGGCGAGAGCCUGACGGAGCAACGCCGCGUGAGGGAGGAAGGCCUGUGGGUCGUAAACCUCUUUUCUCAGGGAAGAAGUACUGACGGUACCUGAGGAAUCAGCAUCGGCUAACUCCGUGCCAGCAGCCGCGGUAAGACGGAGGAUGCAAGCGUUAUCCGGAAUUAUUGGGCGUAAAGCGUCCGUAGGUGGUAUAGAAAGUCUGUUGUUAAAUCCCACAGCUCAACUGUGGAUCGGCAAUGGAAACUACUAAACUUGAGUGUGGUAGGGGUAGAGGGAAUUCCUAGUGUAGCGGUGAAAUGCGUAGAUAUUAGGAAGAACACCAGUGGCGAAGGCGCUCUA
rnacentral:rRNA from 1 species